GCCAGGAUGGUAUAGUGGUUUGAGUGUUGGACUAGGACACUGGGAGACCAGGGUUCGAAUCCCUGCUCAGCCA